GCGAGUGGCGGACGGGUGAGGAAUACAUCGGAAUCUACUCUGUCGUGGGGGAUAACGUAGGGAAACUUACGCUAAUACCGCAUACGACCUACGGGUGAAAGCAGGGGACCUUCGGGCCUUGCGCGAUUGAAUGAGCCGAUGUCGGAUUAGCUAGUUGGCGGGGUAAAGGCCCACCAAGGCGACGAUCCGUAGCUGGUCUGAGAGGAUGAUCAGCCACACUGGAACUGAGACACGGUCCAGACUCCUACGGGAGGCAGCAGUGGGGAAUAUUGGACAAUGGGCGCAAGCCUGAUCCAGCCAUACCGCGUGGGUGAAGAAGGCCUUCGGGUUGUAAAGCCCUUUUGUUGGGAAAGAAAUCCAGCUGGCUAAUACCCGGUUGGGAUGACGGUACCCAAAGAAUAAGCACCGGCUAACUUCGUGCCAGCAGCCGCGGUAAUACGAAGGGUGCAAGCGUUACUCGGAAUUACUGGGCGUAAAGC
rnacentral:rRNA from 1 species